rnacentral:rRNA from 1 species
UGCCAGACUCCUACGGGAGGCAGCAGUGGGGAAUAUUGGGCAAUGGGGGCAAGCCUGACCCAGCAACGCCGCGUGAAGGAAGAAGGAUUUCGGGUUGUAAACUUCUUUCAGCAGGGACGAAGGAAGUGACGGUACCUGAGUAAUAAGCCACGGCUAACUACGUGCCAGCAGCCGCGGUAAUACGUAGGGGGCAAGCGUUAUCCGGAUUUACUGGGUGUAAAGGGAGCGUAGACGGCAGCGCAAGUCCGGGGUGAAAGGCCGGGGCCCAACCCCGGGACUGCUUUGGAAACUGUGGAGCUGGAGUGCGGGAGGGGCAGGCGGAAUUCCUGGUGUAGCGGUGAAAUGCGUAGAUAUCAGGAGGAACACCAGCGGCGAAGGCGGCCUGCUGGACCGUAACUGACGUUGAGGCUCGAAAGCGUGGGGAGCAAACAGGAUUAGAUACCCGCGUA